rnacentral:rRNA from 1 species
UACAGAGGUCUCGAGCGUUAGGCGGAAUCACUGGGCUUAAAGCGUGUGUAGGUGGAUCGUUAAGUCGGAUGUGAAAACCCGUGGCUCAACCACGGGCCUGCAUCCGAUACUGGCGGGCUCGAGGCAGGCAGGGGAGAGCGGAAUUCCUGGUGUAGCGGUGAAAUGCGCAGAUAUCAGGAGGAACACCGGUGGCGAAGGCGGAUCUCUGGGCCUGUCCUGACGCUCAGGCGCGAAAGCUAGGGGAGCAAACAGG